rnacentral:rRNA from 1 species
UAAGGAAUAUUGCUCAAUGGGAGAAAUCCUGAAGCAGCAACGCCGCGUGGAGGAUGAAGGGUCUAUGACUUGUAAACUCCUGUAAAGAAGGAAAAAAUUCCCAUUAGAUGGGAGAUGAUGGUACUUCUGGAGUAAGCCCCGGCUAACUACGUGCCAGCAGCCGCGGUAAUACGUAGGGGGCAAGCGUUGUCCGGAUUUACUGGGUGUAAAGGGUGCUCAGGCGGAUUUGUAAGUCAGAGGUGAAAUCUUACAGCUUAACUGUGAAACUGCCUUUGAUACUGCAAGCCUAGAGUAUGGAAGAGAGUGAUGGAAUAUCUGGUGUAGCAGUGAAAUGCGUAGAUAUCAGAUAGAACACCAAUGGCGAAGGCAGUCACUUGGUCCAUUACUGACGCUAAAGCACGAAAGCGUAGGCAGCAAACA